GCGGGAGCGCCGACGCUGGAGAGUCGGGACCGGCUGUAAACCGGUUGCAUCGCUGAGCGGGUUCGAAUCCCGCCUCCCGCA
rnacentral:tRNA from 1 species